rnacentral:rRNA from 1 species
AGUGAACGCUGGCGGUAGGCCUAACACAUGCCAGUCGAACGGCAGCACAGUAAGAGCUUGCUCUUACGGGUGGCGAGUGGCGGACGGGUGAGGAAUACAUCGUACUCUACUUUUUCGUGGGGGAUAACGUAGGGAAACUUACUCUAAUACCGCAUACGCCCUACGGUUGAAAGCAUGGGAUCUUCGGACCUUGCGCGAUUGGAUUCGCCGAUGUCGGAUUUGCUGGUUGGCGGGGUAAAGGCCCACCCAGGCGACGAUCCGUAGCUGGUGUGAGAGGAUGAUAGGCGACACGAGAGGUGAGACACGGUCCAGACUACUAAGGGACGCAGCAGUGGGGAAUAUUGGACAAUAGGCGGAAGCAUGAUACAGCGAGACGGCGUGGGUGAAGAAGGCGUUCGGGUUGUAAAGACGGUUUGUUGGGAAAGAAAAGCAGCAGGUUAAGACCACGCGGUUCUGACGGUACCCAAAGAAGAAGCACCGGCUAACUACGUG